GUAGAGUGUGGUUCUGGGUCCGUCUGGGUGGUCGUGGGGACAUGACCCUGAGGUUGGCCUGGUCCCUGGCUCCUUCCUCUCGGGCACUGUUCCUCUGCUCUGGUUCUGGCCAAGAGCUGAGCAGCUUGGCUUGGCCACGCCCUUCCUCCAGGAUGUCUGUGCUGUGGAGCCAGCUGACCAUGCUCUGAAACCCUGAACAAGUGAAACCUCCCCUCCCUACACUGUGGCUGCCAGGGUUGUGUCUCUGCGAGGAGGAGGCUGGCCAAUGUACUGGGCCCUUGGGCAGUAUCAUCGUGUAAAACAGGGGGCGGGACCAGGGGCCCCUGGGAGGUGCUGCCUCACUCAGCACCUGGCGAGCUACAGCCUGCAGCCCAGGCUGCUACUUCUGUCCCCUGUCCCAGGAACCAGGUGGAACCACAGGGAGCACUCCACUUGUUGGGAAGGCUGUUCCUGUCCCAUGAAUGAUGUGUAGAAUCUGUAAUUUCAGUAUUUGUUUGACCCAUGAACCAAAAUAUGGGGGAAGGAAGAAGUCCAGAUACCAAAAUGCUGAUCUGAAAGUCAUGAGAAAUUGAAAGCUUUCAAGGGGGUGGUAGACCUUGUCUCCCGAGACGCUUAUCUGAAUUAGGGGUGAGGGAUCAGCGGCAGGCAGAUUCCUUCCACCCCUUUAUAUCUCGUCUGCUGUCCUCUUUUUAUAGGUUGUUGGGGAAGGGGAAAAUGGGACCAGAGUCAGUGUAUAGGAAGGGGGUUUUCCCUCAAAAAGUCAGUUUCUAAAAUUUAGGCUGGAAAUGUAAAUUCUAAAAUUUCUUCCCAUGAUACCCUGGCGAAGACAGCUUCUCCAGUUGCUAAAGGGCUGAGCUGCCAUGCAGAAAUCCCAGUGCCAGGGAGAGAAAUCAUUACACAUGACGAGCACUUGUCUUGGAUUCGCUGGCGGGAGCGUGGGGAGAAGGCAGCCCUCGAGUUGGGAGUUUCCACGUGCCACACUGCGUGCCAGAGGCUGGAGGAAGCACGACAGGAACUCUGGAACAGUGCUGUCCACUCCUCGGGAGGCUGGCCACGUGAGAAGGAGGAAGCUGCAGCAUCAACCAGGAUUGAAAAGUCAGAUUCUAGACUUGAUUCCUGUUAAUUGGGUCCUAUUAAUUGGACUCAGUUAAUAGGAUGGGUUUUGGCAAUGAAAAAGAUGCCUUGGCAAGGAAGGAUGUGAAGAGAGAUACUCUCAGAAUCGGACCCUGGAAGGGAACUCAAGCUGUGGCCACAGGCGUGGCCAGAAGCAGGCACCUGCUGGCUCCGCCUGGGCUUGCCCUACAUUGGCUGGAGACCUUUGGGCUCCUUUUGCCAUCUGUAAAGUGGAAAAAAG
rnacentral:lncRNA from 1 species